rnacentral:lncRNA from 1 species
AUUUGGUGUGAUGGUGCUUAGACGUGGUGUACAUGGUCUAUGCUGUGCGUAAGGACCAAGUACCCAAAGUGAGGAAAAGGGGAAGGAGGAAAUAGUUUUUAUAUUUGUGUGAAAAGUAGCCACCAAUGCAAAAGAGCUACUUUAGCAACCCCCAACUUAGGGGGUGGACUCCCUACUUGAGGUUGGGCUAUUUUCAAGUCUGUAUAGCAGAUAGGGAUGAGCAAAAAACUACUUGCAUUCGCAAAAUAUCAACCCCCAAUCCCAAUCUCCAACCCCAACCCCAACCCCACACACUAAAAAAAAAGAGGAAAUGUCAGCAUAUGUGGGGAAUGAUAUAGAAGGAAACAUAAAAAAUCAGCCAAAAGCAAAAUUAAGUAUGAUAAUUUCUCAAAAAGGGCAAGAAACCAAUAAAUAUUUUUAGUAUUCUUAUGCAAUACUAACUUGGUUCAAUCUAUUACAAUGAUCCAAAUUAAAGCAUGUUAGGGAUUCAAAUAAACUGAAAAUGGAAGGAUGCGUGAAAAGAUUCAACAUAUUAAAUAAGACUAAAUAAAUCAAAUAAACAAACUCGUGCUGCAAAGCACAAUAACACCAAUAGAGCCCAUGAUUGGUACCGAAUCACAACCAAAACCAAACACCCUACACCUUCGGAAUUCUAAUUAUCGAAUAUCGCUAUUGAAAAAAUAAACAGAGAACAUGGAAGUCAAAGAGCAUGUCCUCUCUGAAUUAGAUCUUCUUUUUUAUUUUUUUUUUUUUUUUUUUUUUGUUUUUUUUUUUUUUUUCCCCCAAAAUGAAUCCAAAGAAAAAAACCAAGUAUCAAGGAUAAUUUUCAUGAACUUGUAUUAGCAAAAAGUAUUCUCAAUUUCUAGGGUUUCAUCCCUACAGUGUCCGUUUCCUCAAACUUGUAGCAUAUAGAAAAUUUUCCAAACCAGCAUAAACCAUAAAAUAACAAAAAAAAUCUACAAAAACAAAAGAAUCCACAACAAUUGGUCCCAUCAGUAUCCAAACAAACAAGACCCACCAGCGUCGAUGUAGCUAGAUUGAUUAAACUUGGGACCGUGCCCCUAGUGUCCACACUAAGUUCUAGUAAACUUAAAAACUUGAGUACAAAUUUACACAUGAUUCCAAUAUCACCAAGGAGAACUUCAACCUAUUUCUAAAUUUUGUUGCUUCUUUAAAUUUUCUUUUCUUGACCUUCUUCUAACAUGCGCCGCACUUUCUACAUGUUCAUUAAAUGUACUUCUUAACUAAGUCAAUUCAACAAUGGACUAAUUAUCCAUGAAGAUCAAUCACGUAGCACUUAUAGCAGGUUCUCCCUUUUUUGUUGAGAUGACUUCGCUGAGAUGGCUUGCCAACCCAAGGUGAUGCAUAGAACUGCAGACACCUUCAAGGAAUGACAAAAAAAUAUGUAUUCUUAUGAUUGUACUCAACAUGCAUAGUUGCAUAUCAAAGUGGCAUUUACCUUCCUAAUAUAGGUAUUUCCAUCACCAAGACACAUCUAAUAGUCAGAAAGAGAACAGUGUUUAAACCAGCUACUCUAAAAGCUUAAGUUGGUAGGCAAAACGAAAUAGAAGCCGCUUAGAUUCAUCAGCAUGCCCUGACGGAGACAGCUCCUCUAGUCAAUGAGCCAAGCACAUCCAUAUGCGAUCCGCAGGCAUUAGAUUCAACAUCAUAAACAAUUCUACUCAGAUAGACAUUUGGUAACAAGCUAAUCCAGAAGUUACUUAAUUUUAAGGAGAAACAACUCAAAAUUCAAUCGAGAAGUCUGAAAGGACGACAUCAUAAAAGUUUCCCUUUACUUGAGUUGGACUCCAACUAGUUUUCAAUUGAAUUCUAGCAUUAAGUUAUUCAGCAAUGGUAUGUUAUGAAUGAAAAAUUACAAAUGAAUAGGAUGUGUGUAUAUUUGCGAGAGUCACCCCUUCAGUUUGCAAGAAGUGGGUCCGUACCAUUGAAAGAUGUAUUAUGUUUUUUUUUUCUUUUAAGCGGAUAGAUAUGUUUCAAUAAACAAUCAAAGGGCGAGGGGAAAAGAGGCCCCCAAAACCAUCCGGCAAGCUAAAAACAAGAAGAUACAGACCCACAAUUUUUUUCAUUCUAGCUAUUGCACGCGUAAGAAUGAUACGGAAAGAAUAUGCAUAAGAUUUUUCCCCUAACAGAACCCAACUGAAUGGAUUCGGGGGGGGAGUUGAAGCCGCCGUUCGGUCUUUUAGGCUGAUAUAUGUACAUUUAAGAUCUCAAUCGUGUAAGUGAGUAGUACUAUAAAGGUUAAAAGGGAUCUAGCCUGGACGGCCUUGCAAUAGAGGGUGAUGCUUGCUUGCAUCGAUAUGAUAGCUGUGUUCCAAAAGAAAUAAGCACAAUAAGAACGUUUGAACGAGAACUCGGGUAUGACGAAAAGCAGAUAUUAAUAUCACAGAAAGACUAAUAACUGUGAAGAGUUAGCACGAUUAUAAAACAAAUUCAGCUUCAUUAAUGAGAGAAAAGUUUGGAUGGAUUCUACAAUACCCAA